rnacentral:rRNA from 1 species
GAUGAACGCUAGCGGCAGGCUUAAUACAUGCAAGUCGUGGGGCAGCAUGAGUAGCAAUACUUGAUGGCGACCGGCAAACGGGUGAGGAACACGUACACAACCUUCCUUCAAGCGGGGAAUAGCCCAGAGAAAUUUGGAUUAAUACCCCAUAAUAUAUUUGAUAAGGCAUCUUAUUAAUAUUAAAGCUUCGGCACUUGAUGAUGGGUGUGCGGCUGAUUAGAUAGUUGGCGGGGUAACGGCCCACCAAGUCUACGAUCAGUAGCUGAUGUGAGAGCAUGAUCAGCCACACGGGCACCUAGA